ACUAAGCGUACACGGUGGAUGCCCUGGCAGUCAGAGGCGAUGAAGGACGUGCUAAUCUGCGAUAAGCGUCGGUAAGGUGAUAUGAACCGUUAUAACCGGCGAUUUCCGAAUGGGGAAACCCAGUGUGAUUCGUCACACUAUCAUUAACUGAAUCCAUAGGUUAAUGAGGCGAACCGGGGGAACUGAAACAUCUAAGUACCCCGAGGAAAAGAAAUCAACCGAGAUUCCCCCAGUAGCGGCGAGCGAACGGGGAGCAGCCCAGAGCCUGAAUCAGUGUGUGUGUUAGUGGAAGCGUCUGGAAAGGCGUGCGAUACAGGGUGACAGCCCCGUACACAAAAAUGCACAUAUUGUGAGCUCGAUGAGUAGGGCGGGACACGUGGUAUCCUGUCUGAAUAUGGGGGACCAUCCUCCAAGGCUAAAUACUCCUGACUGACCGAUAGUGAACCAGUACCGUGAGGGAAAGGCGAAAAGAACCCCGGCGAGGGGAGUGAAAAAGAACCUGAAACCGUGUACGUACAAGCAGUGGGAGCACGCUUAGGCGUGUGACUGCGUACCUUUUGUAUAAUGGGUCAGCGACUUAUAUUCUGUAGCAAGGUUAACCGAAUAGGGGAGCCGAAGGGAAACCGAGUCUUAACUGGGCGUUAAGUUGCAGGGUAUAGACCCGAAACCCGGUGAUCUAGCCAUGGGCAGGUUGAAGGUUGGGUAACACUAACUGGAGGACCGAACCGACUAAUGUUGAAAAAUUAGCGGAUGACUUGUGGCUGGGGGUGAAAGGCCAAUCAAACCGGGAGAUAGCUGGUUCUCCCCGAAAGCUAUUUAGGUAGCGCCUCGUGAAUUCAUCUCCGGGGGUAGAGCACUGUUUCGGCAAGGGGGUCAUCCCGACUUACCAACCCGAUGCAAACUGCGAAUACCGGAGAAUGUUAUCACGGGAGACACACGGCGGGUGCUAACGUCCGUCGUGAAGAGGGAAACAACCCAGACCGCCAGCUAAGGUCCCAAAGUCAUGGUUAAGUGGGAAACGAUGUGGGAAGGCCCAGACAGCCAGGAUGUUGGCUUAGAAGCAGCCAUCAUUUAAAGAAAGCGUAAUAGCUCACUGGUCGAGUCGGCCUGCGCGGAAGAUGUAACGGGGCUAAACCAUGCACCGAAGCUGCGGCAGCGACACUAUGUGUUGUUGGGUAGGGGAGCGUUCUGUAAGCCUGUGAAGGUGUACUGUGAGGUAUGCUGGAGGUAUCAGAAGUGCGAAUGCUGACAUAAGUAACGAUAAAGCGGGUGAAAAGCCCGCUCGCCGGAAGACCAAGGGUUCCUGUCCAACGUUAAUCGGGGCAGGGUGAGUCGACUCCUAAGGCGAGGCCGAAAGGCGUAGUCGAUGGGAAACAGGUUAAUAUUCCUGUACUUGGUGUUACUGCGAAGGGGGGACGGAGAAGGCUAUGUUGGCCGGGCGACGGUUGUCCCGGUUUAAGCGUGUAGGCUGGUUUUCCAGGCAAAUCCGGAAAACUAAGGCUGAGGCGUGAUGACGAGGCACUACGGUGCUGAAGCAACAAAUGCCCUGCUUCCAGGAAAAGCCUCUAAGCAUCAGGUAACAUCAAAUCGUACCCCAAACCGACACAGGUGGUCAGGUAGAGAAUACCAAGGCGCUUGAGAGAACUCGGGUGAAGGAACUAGGCAAAAUGGUGCCGUAACUUCGGGAGAAGGCACGCUGAUAUGUAGGUGAAGUCCCUCGCGGAUGGAGCUGAAAUCAGUCGAAGAUACCAGCUGGCUGCAACUGUUUAUUAAAAACACAGCACUGUGCAAACACGAAAGUGGACGUAUACGGUGUGACGCCUGCCCGGUGCCGGAAGGUUAAUUGAUGGGGUCAGCGCAAGCGAAGCUCUUGAUCGAAGCCCCGGUAAACGGCGGCCGUAACUAUAACGGUCCUAAGGUAGCGAAAUUCCUUGUCGGGUAAGUUCCGACCUGCACGAAUGGCGUAAUGAUGGCCAGGCUGUCUCCACCCGAGACUCAGUGAAAUUGAACUCGCUGUGAAGAUGCAGUGUACCCGCGGCAAGACGGAAAGACCCCGUGAACCUUUACUAUAGCUUGACACUGAACAUUGAGCCUUGAUGUGUAGGAUAGGUGGGAGGCUUUGAAGUGUGGACGCCAGUCUGCAUGGAGCCGACCUUGAAAUACCACCCUUUAAUGUUUGAUGUUCUAACGUUGACCCGUAAUCCGGGUUGCGGACAGUGUCUGGUGGGUAGUUUGACUGGGGCGGUCUCCUCCUAAAGAGUAACGGAGGAGCACGAAGGUUGGCUAAUCCUGGUCGGACAUCAGGAGGUUAGUGCAAUGGCAUAAGCCAGCUUGACUGCGAGCGUGACGGCGCGAGCAGGUGCGAAAGCAGGUCAUAGUGAUCCGGUGGUUCUGAAUGGAAGGGCCAUCGCUCAACGGAUAAAAGGUACUCCGGGGAUAACAGGCUGAUACCGCCCAAGAGUUCAUAUCGACGGCGGUGUUUGGCACCUCGAUGUCGGCUCAUCACAUCCUGGGGCUGAAGUAGGUCCCAAGGGUAUGGCUGUUCGCCAUUUAAAGUGGUACGCGAGCUGGGUUUAGAACGUCGUGAGACAGUUCGGUCCCUAUCUGCCGUGGGCGCUGGAGAACUGAGGGGGCUGCUCCUAGUACGAGAGGACCGGAGUGGACGCAUCACUGGUGUUCGGGUUGUCAUGCCAAUGGCACUGCCCGGUAGCUAAAUGCGGAAGAGAUAAGUGCUGAAAGCAUCUAAGCACGAAACUUGCCCCGAGAUGAGUUCUCCCUGACUCCUUGAGAGUCCUGAAGGAACGUUGAAGACGACGACGUUGAUAGGCCGGGUGUGUAAGCGCAGCGAUGCGUUGAGCUAACCGGUACUAAUGAACCGUGAGGCUUAACC
rnacentral:rRNA from 1 species